rnacentral:rRNA from 1 species
AUUAGAUACCCUGUUACUUAUAGCUAAGAAAUUUUGGAAUAGUAAUAAUUAUAAAAUUUAUCAGAUUUGGCGGCAAGAUAGCCUUUUAGAGGAACCUGCCCUGUAAACGAUGAACCACGAAAUACCUUGCUUUUAUUUGUUAUCAGUUUGUAUACCGCUGUUGUCAGUUAGUUUUUAUAAAAAACUUUCUUUAUGAUAAAGUCAUUUACUUCAAGUAAAGGUGCAGCUUAUGUAAAAGAUAGAGGUGGGUUACAUUUAUGAGAAUAAAACGAACAAUAUUUCUGAAAAUAAUUUUGAAGGCGGAUUUAAUUGUAAAGUUUAAAAAAACUUGAUUUGAGCUCUAUCUUGUGUACACACCGCCCGUC